rnacentral:rRNA from 1 species
AAAUAGAACUUGAAACCGUGUGCUUACAAGUAGUCAGAGCCCGUUAAUGGGUGAUGGCGUGCCUUUUGUAGAAUGAACCGGCGAGUUACGAUUUGAUGCAAGGUUAAGCAGUGAAUGUGGAGCCGUAGCGAAAGCGAGUCUGAAUAGGGCGUUGAGUAUUUGGUCGUAGACCCGAAACCAGGUGAUCUACCCAUGACCAGGUUGAAGUUCAGGUAACACUGAAUGGAGGACCGAACCGACUUACGUUGAAAAGUGAGCGGAUGAGUUGUGGGUAGCGGAGAAAUUCCAAUCGAACCUGGAGAUAGCUGGUUCUCUCCGAAAUAGCUUUAGGGCUAGCCUCAAGUGAUGAUUAUUGGAGGUAGAGCACUGUUUGGACGAGGGGCCCUUAUCGGGUUACCGAAUUCAGACAAACUCCGAAUGCCAAUCAAUUUAACUUGGGAGUCAGAACGCGGGUGAUAAGGUCCGUGUUCGAAAGGGAAACAGCCCAGACCACCAGCUAAGGUCCCAAAAUAUAUGUUAAGUGGAAAAGGAUGUGGCGUUGCCCAGACAACUAGGAUGUUGGCUUAGAAGCAGCCAUCAUUUAAAGAGUGCGUAAUAGCUCACUAGUCGAGUGACACUGCGCCGAAAAUGUACCGGGGCUAAACAUAUUACCGAAGCUGUGGAUUGUCCGUAAGGACAAUGGUAGGAGAGCGUUCUAAGGGCGUUGAAGCAUGAUCGCAAGGACAUGUGGAGCGCUUAGAAGUGAGAAUGCCGGUGUGAGUAGCGAAAGACGGGUGAGAAUCCCGUCCACCGAUUGACUAAGGUUUCCAGAGGAAGGCUCGUCCGCUCUGGGUUAGUCGGGUCCUAAGCUGAGGCCGAUAGGCGUAGGCGAUGGAUAACAGGUUGAUAUUCCUGUACCACCAUUAUUCGUUUUAAGCGAUGGGGGGACGCAGUAGGAUAGGCGAAGCGUACGAUUGGAUUGUACGUCCAAGCAGUGAGAUUGAGUGUUAGGCAAAUCCGGCACUCUUAAGAUUGAGCUGUGAUGGGGAGAGGAAAUUGUUUCCUCGAGUCGUUGAUUUCACACUGCCAAGAAAAGCCUCUAGCUAGAAUUGUGGUGCCCGUACCGCAAACCGACACAGGUAGUCAAGAUGAGAAUUCUAAGGUGAGCGAGCGAACUCUCGUUAAGGAACUCGGCAAAAUGACCCCGUAACUUCGGGAGAAGGGGUGCUCUUUAGGGUUAACGCCCAGGAGAGCCGCAGUGAAUAGGCCCAAGCGACUGUUUAUCAAAAACACAGGUCUCUGCUAAACCGUAAGGUGAUGUAUAGGGGCUGACGCCUGCCCGGUGCUGGAAGGUUAAGAGGAGUGGUUAGCUUCUGCGAAGCUACGAAUCGAAGCCCCAGUAAACGGCGGCCGUAACUAUAACGGUCCUAAGGUAGCGAAAUUCCUUGUCGGGUAAGUUCCGACCCGCACGAAAGGCGUAACGAUUUGGGCACUGUCUCAACGAGAGACUCGGUGAAAUCAUAGUACCUGUGAAGAUGCAGGUUACCCGCGACAGGACGGAAAGACCCCGUGGAGCUUUACUGUAGUCUGAUAUUGAAAUUCGGCACAGC